UACGAAGGGGGCUAGCGUUGCUCGGAAUUACUGGGCGUAAAGGGUGUGUAGGCGGAUAGUUUAGUCAGAGGUGAAAGCCCAGGGCUCAACCCUGGAAUUGCCUUUGAUACUGGCUAUCUUGAGUUCGGGAGAGGUAAGUGGAACUCCGAGUGUAGAGGUGAAAUUCGUAGAUAUUCGGAAGAACACCAGUGGCGAAGGCGACUUACUGGCCCGAUACUGACGCUGAAACACGAAAGCGUGGGGAGCAAACAGG
rnacentral:rRNA from 1 species